CAGUACGCAGCCGCGCAAAACUCGGAACAACAACAAAACACAGCGUGGAGGAGACGACUGCGAGCGAGACAUUUACAAACCAUCUUAUCGAUCCAGCGUGUGGAAACAUUUUGGCUUUUGCAAACACGGAGGUGUUCUAAAUAAGUCGGGCGCUGUUUGUAGAAUAUGUAGAAGCCAAAUAAAAAAACACGGAAACACAACGAAUCUUUCCGGCCAUCUACUAAGGCGCCAUGGGAUUAAAUAACGCCGACAGUCAGGCACCUCUAGCAGCGUUACCGCUGCAGCAGCAGCAGGAGCAUGAUGACGAUGAGGAGGAAACGCUGUCUGCUGCCACAGGGAGAGAUCCGGAGGGGCCUACUGAAGUGUGUCUUGAUAUUAUCUGCUGGCAGUGCUCUGCCCAUUCACAUUCUAGAGUGGAAUUUGGAGUUUGACAUGUAGACUGAAGUGAUGAGCAUAGAUAAUGGCUAACCAGCACAUUCUUGUCCUUGAACAGAACAUGGUUGGGCAUCACCAACCCACAGCACAGCUUCUAACAGUGAUCAAUACCAUGUUAAAUCUGUAUGUGGAUUAAAUGUCGUCCAUAUGUUUCCUAGUUACCAGUAAAGCGGUAGCGUUCUAACAGAAAUUCCUCUGGAAAUGAUAAAACGUCUAAUUUGGGUCGGAAGACUCUCUUGCGACGUAAAGCAUUUCAAAUCACGACGGCUUCGAUGUCAAUUGGAUUUGGUAGGAACGGGCAAUCCAUGUCUACCAGCUUUCUUCAUGUGGGAGGAGACGGUAGAAACUCUGGGUUUCUUAUAGUAAACCUGCCAGCAAGCAGGUUAUGUUCACAGAGUCUGUUACCAUGGUGAUUGACUCAGAGUUUCAGUUACCUCUCUAUCUGGAACGGAUAACUCAGAGUUUCCCUGAUCUCAGGGUCAACUUACUCUGAGUUUUCACAUAACCCACUUUCUGGAAUACCCCACUGGUCUCCAGUAUCAGUCGCUGCGUUUGAGUCCUCACCCAGCCGUGAACCGUGACAUUAAGAGGCUUAAAUAAUGUUUUACAGUUUUCGUAAAGUGACAAUAUUAAAUAUUGGAUCAUGAAAUUAGUACAUAUACACUGGUUUUAUGUGAGUUUUUUUUCCAUCUUUAAUCAUAAUGUAUAAAUUUUUAAUAUGACAGUCGGAACACACAUGUGUCGUCCUCUUUGUUGUUGUACCAUAUUUGACAUCUUCAUGCUUUGGCUCGUUAUAUAGUUUUUAACAUCACAUUGCAAUGACUUGUGGGUAAAUCUUUAGAGCA
ensembl:lncRNA